rnacentral:tRNA from 1 species
GUCAGUGUAGCUCAGCUGGUUAGAGCACAGCAUUCAUAACGCUGAGGUCGGGAGUUCAAGUCUCCCCACUGACA